CGUGGGCGUAGGAAAUUUGAGAGGAGCUGUCCUUAGUACGAGAGGACCGGGAUGGACGCACCGCUGGUGUACCAGUUGUUCUGCCAAGGGCAUAGCUGGGUAGCUAUGUGCGGAAGGGAUAAGUGCUGAAAGCAUCUAAGCAUGAAGCCCCCCUCAAGAUGAGAUUUCCCAUAGCGUAAGCUAGUAAGAUCCCUGAAAGAUGAUCAGGUUGAUAGGUUCGAGGUGGAAGCAUGGUGACAUGUGGAGCUGACGAAUACUAAUAGAUCGAGGACUUAACCAUAUAA
rnacentral:rRNA from 1 species